UCUCUUCUGGACGCCUUCACCCCUCUCACACCUCAAGCCUCACGCCUCACGCCUAUGCCUCAUGUCGAACACCGACCUCAAUCCGCCGGCCGAUGUCCGUCCUCCUCCAUCUUCACUGUUGGCCGGCCAAUUGCCGCAGCCAAUGGCGGUGGCAAGGCGGCGCAGGGGUGUGCGGAAGCACCCCCUUGCUCCCAGAAAUUCCACUAGUAUACGGCCUCCGUCAAGGAUCUUCUUCCUUUCCCCUCCCGAUUGUUCCCUCCCCCGUCGAUCUCGAGGCCGAAGCUCCCAUCGAACCCUACCUCUGUUGCAGACUUCGGUGAGACGGAGGAAGAUGGCGACAAUGGAGAUGCGGCCGAAGAGGAGGAUGGCGGAGGCAGCAGGGGCGAAGUCGCGAAGAGAAAGUGAAUAUCAAAUCGCGGCAACACAUGGAGCACUGGGAGCGGCAUUGCCCCAAGCCCAGCCUCAGGUGUCAUGUGCCGCUGCCGAGGUACAAGGUACCGGUUCCAUGGCCCAAGAGCAAAGACAUGGUGAGAUUGAUUCUUGGGUAAGCCGGCUAUGGUUUUCUUUUUCCCCAAUUCUCUCAUUGAUCGUCGCAAUGUAUCUGAUUAAACCUGAUGAUUGCCCUAUCUAGUUUCUCCUUGCUUCUGAUUCCCGUGUUGACUCAUACUGAUCUAUAAAGACGGAUCCUGUUACCACUUUGAGAAGAAUAUGAUUUGGUAUGAUAAUAUUCCUCACACCAAACUCGUUGAAUAUAAGAAAGACCAAAACUGGGUACAGAGUUCAGGUGAUUACCUAGUUUUCCCUGGAGGUGAAACUCAAUUGAAAGAUGGUGUUUCUAAAUACAUCGAGUUCAUCGAGCUUGUAAGUGGGAAGUCACUCUUGAAGCUCAAUCGGAUUCUUAGAGUUGGAGGAUUUUUGUUUGGCCCCAACAACUGUUCAACACCUGUUUACCGCAAUAAUGAAAAUAUAUGUGUAAAAAUACGAGCUAACUCAAAAAUCUUAUGCUUCUAGGUAACUAAAUUCUUUGUUGUUUUUUUAUUUGUUCAAAUGAUAUUUAAAAGAUAAUUUAGAAACAUCAUGUGCACACUUUUGAUAUACUUAAUUCUGGUUCUUUGAUAAUGAGAAAGAGUAGGUUUUGUUCAUUUUGAGUUGUCAAUGUUUCAUAGGCACACAAACUAGUAGUGAGGAACAAUAGCAUGCAUGCUCAUCUUGGUGAUUGAAAUUGAUUGGUAUUCUCUAAUUUUUUUUUCUUAUUUUAUUGUAAUAUUAUUGAAUAUGUUGUUACAAUGUUAGACAAUUACUGUUAGACAAUCAUUGUAUAUUUAUCAUUGA